rnacentral:rRNA from 1 species
GAACGAACGCUGGCGGCGUGCCUAAUACAUGCAAGUCGAGCGAAUGGAUUAAGAGCUUGCUCUUAUGAAGUUAGCGGCGGACGGGUGAGUAACACGUGGGUAACCUGCCCAUAAGACUGGGAUAACUCCGGGAAACCGGGGCUAAUACCGGAUAACAUUUUGAACCGCAUGGUUCGAAAUUGAAAGGCGGCUUCGGCUGUCACUUAUGGAUGGACCCGCGUCGCAUUAGCUAGUUGGUGAGGUAACGGCUCACCAAGGCAACGAUGCGUAGCCGACCUGAGAGGGUGAUCGGCCACACUGGGACUGAGACACGGCCC